AGCGGAAAAGCCGAAAACCGCAAAUAGAGUAGGUA
rfam:Flavobacterium frigoris strain DSM 15719 genome assembly, contig: Ga0131223_123